rnacentral:rRNA from 1 species
UACGGAGGGGGCUAGCGUUGUUCGGAAUUAUUGGGCGUAAAGCGCACGUAGGCGGCUUUGUAAGUCAGAGGUGAAAGCCUGGAGCUCAACUCCAGAACUGCCUUUGAGACUGCAUCGCUUGAAUCCAGGAGAGGUGAGUGGAAUUCCGAGUGUAGAGGUGAAAUUCGUAGAUAUUCGGAAGAACACCAGUGGCGAAGGCGGCUCACUGGACUGGUAUUGACGCUGAGGUGCGAAAGCGUGGGGAGCAAACAGG